rnacentral:rRNA from 1 species
AGAGUUUGAUCAUGGCUCAGGACGAACGCUGCGGCGUGCCUAACACAUGCAAGUUGAGCGACGAACCAGGGCUUGCCCUGGGGCAAAGCAGCGAACGGGUGAGUAACACGUGGGCAACCUGCCCCGAUAACCGGGACAACCCGAGGAAACUCGGGCUAAUACCGGAUGUGCUCGCCGGACCCAAGUCCGGCGCGUAAAGGAAGCUUCGGCCUCCGUAUCGGGAGGGGCCCGCGGCCCAUUAGCUAGUUGGUGAGGUAACGGCUCACCAAGGCCGCGAUGGGUAGCUGGUCUGAGAGGACGAUCAGCCACACUGGGACUGAGACACGGCCCAGACUCCUACGGGAGGCAGCAGUGGGGAAUCUUGCGCAAUGCGCGAAAGCGUGACGCAGCAACGCCGCGUGGGGGAAGAAGGCCUUCGGGUCGUAAACCCCUUUCAGGAGGGACGAAGGUGUGGCGGUGAACAGCCGUCCGCACUGACGGUACCUCCACAAGAAGCCCCGGCUAACUACGUGCCAGCAGCCCGCGGUA